CCUCCAAUACGACGGCAUACUCGACGCCUCCACCGCCGCCGCCGUCCCACUCCUCUUCUCCGUCGCUGGCUACCCGAAGACGUGUACCACCAUGGCCGGCGAGAGAAUCUCCCUCUCGUGCUGCCCCCUCUGAUCUCUCCUAUUUGAACCGAUGGCUCCAUGGCCUAUGGCUACCGAGGUGGAGUGCAGGAGCAGCGACUGGGAGUCUGGGACGAGGAUCUCCUGCCCGCAGCCCGGGGGUGGCGAGUUCGAAACGGAUUCGGUGACCACCUUCGAGGAUGGUCCUGCGGCCGCGGGUGGCGCCGUGGCGAGCGGCGACGCGACGGCGGCUCCGGUGUGUGUGUGGGGCGGGGGGGCGUACCAUUCUUACCAUGAGCUUGCUGCCCUUUUGACACGUCUUGCGUAGGAUCCCUCUAGUUUCGGUUGGUUCGCCUACUGAAUUUAGGGUUUUUUGGAUCCAUGCCAUUACAAUCUAACUAAUUCGUGGUGUUUCGGAUGAACAAAAAAAGAGAGAGAAUCUUAUAAGUCUAAUGGUCAAUCAUGUUCAUGCAGCUGAAGGCUAGUGGAGCAUUCUUAUCACCUGGAAAAUUGUUGAUGUGCUCCUCUUCCUAAUUCCUGCAAGGCCGCAACUGAUGGCUAUUGAUGUUAACGGCUCAUCGAUGCAUCAUACAUGUUGUUCAUCUGUUUCAGUUAGCUCUUUGGCAUCUAUACAUGUUUUUCUUGCAUUAAGGCAUACCGUUUCUAUCAUCUAGUUAUGAAAUGGCUUAGAUAACUCUUCGGCUUUGUGUUUUCAGUGGGAGACGACGUGUCCAUCGACAACGAAGUGCCCGUGACGACUUCGGGGUUUCUCUAGAUUUGCCGGCCAGUCUUCGGAGAUGCCAUAGGGUUUGCACGCGUGCGUUUUUAGGAGAGAGUGUGCGUGCAUUUGGAAUUUGCUGAGAUCACAUGAAUCAUACGACGGGCAGUUGCGGUGCCAGUAACUUCCACCAUGCACUGAUCAACCAGUGUCCAAUUCGAUCUCCACUGCAAUGCCAGAUUAAUUUGAACAGUGGCUAAAACUGACUCCAAUCCCAAUCCGGACUGGCGUCUCCACAAAGCCCCAUGGUUUCACGAUCAGGCUAGGCUCAUCUUGGCGUCUUCCUCCUCCCAAAACUCUGCAAUGGUAGGCGUGGGAUCAGUGGUGCUGCGGCUCUAGCUCUCAGUUUACAACUGGGUUGUCUUCUUCAGAUGGCUGGUUGUUCCACCUGCUGUUCUUGAGUUAUGGUGCCUGACAAAUGGAAUUUCUCCUUCGACUACUUCUAUGCAUCUGCUCUUUCCAUGCUGCUGUAUAUUCCAGGGUUUCCACACGUGUUCUUCUAUAUGGUGGCCCAGAGGAAGAAAGAAAGCCUUGUCAAAAGGCAAAAUUCGCAUGAUAUGCUCAACAUAUUUGGAGAUCGAAUUAUAUCCAUUAUCUAGUGCAAUUUAUGGAUGUAGCUAAUGGCUCACGUUUUCAUGGAUUGCUAACAGUAUGCUGUAGCAAGGACUAGCUGCUCCAUGUGUAACAAAAAAUGCACUGCCUGUUGUGAUUAAAAGCCUAAAAACCUGGUGAAUUUUAUGUUGAUUUUGUGCUGGUCAAGAACCAUGUUUAUCUACUGUUCUUAUCUGAAAAGGGCGAGAUGGAGUGAGAGUAAGAUCAGUUAAAGAGGAGCCAAUUGCAUCUCUCCAGAACUUGAUUUGCACUCUGCAGUUGGUAAGGUGUGCCUUUCUUCCUUUCUCCCUUUCAUCAACCGUCCAGUUGCUGAAAAGUUUGUCAAGUGAUUGAUGCCUCUCUUUUCUCCUGCUGUACUUUUCUCUCCGGUUACGUGUUGCCUUUCCAGAUUGUCCUCGCCAUCUA